GCCAUCAUUUGUUGUGAGUAAUGGCCCACCUAGACUAUUACAGGUACGGGCUCUGAGAGGAGUAGCCCGGAGAUGGGUAGUGAGACACGGACCCAGGCCCUAUGGGGCGCAGCAGGCGAGAAAACUUUGCAAUGUGCGAAAGCACGACAAGGUUAAUCCGAGUGGUUUCUGCUAAAGGAACCUUUUGUCAGUCCUAGAAACACUGAUGAAUAAGGGGUGGGCAAGUUCUGGUGUCAGCCGCCGCGGUAAAACCAGCACCUCAAGUGGUCAGGAUGAUUAUUGGGCCUAAAGCAUCCGUAGACGGCUCUGUAAGUUUUCGGUUAAAUCUGUACGCUCAACGUACAGGCUGCCGGGAAUACUGCAAAGCUAGGGAGUGGGAGAAGUAGACGGUACUCGGUAGGAAGGGGUAAAAUCCUUUGAUCUAUUGAUGACCACCUGUGGCGAAGGCGGUCUACCAGAACACGUCCGACGGUGAGGGAUGAAAGCUGGGGGAGCAAACCGGAUUAGAUACCCGGGUAGUCCCAGCUGUAAACCAUGCAAACUCAGUGAUGCAUUGGCUUGUGGCCAAUGCAGUGCUGCAGGGAAGCCGUUAAGUUUGCCGCCUGGGAAGUACGUACGCAAGUAUGAAACUCAAAUGAAUUGACGG
rnacentral:rRNA from 1 species